CUGGCAGUUCCCUAGAUGAGCCACGUUUUUCCUUUUCUCUGGGCCUCUGGGUGUGCUGUUUCUUCCGCCUGGAUGCCUGACUCGUGCCUAACCGUCCACCUGUCCCCCAUGAUUGUCAGUCAUGGUGGGCUCCUUGCCAGGGCCCAGGUGUUUGGAGGCUGGCAUCGGCUGCUGUCCAUGGUCCCUGAAACACCCCACCAACAAGGGCUGCACUCGGGACAGGUACCCAGCCUUUCUCAGGAGUUCUGAACCAGGCUGCCUACUUCCUUGGAGGAGGCAGGCAAGGCUGGGAAAGGAGAGCUCGGCCCGGCUGCUUGCGGAAUUCUGGAGGAGGCAGGAGUGGAGGGCUGCCAUCUGUCCAGCUGCCCCCAGGCCUUCUCUGCAGCAUCCCCAUCCCAGUCUGGCCCUUUCAUCUUUCUUCAGACCUCUCUCUCCUCUUGAAGUAUUGGCUUCUCUAUCCUCUUCCUUCAUAAACUCUCAC
rnacentral:lncRNA from 1 species